rnacentral:tRNA from 1 species
GGGAAAGUGGCUCAGUGGUAGAGUGCUUGCUUUGCAUGCAUGAAGCCCUGGGUUCGAUUCCUCAGCACCA